CGCUCCCCGGGCAAACGCCAGGUUCCGGUCGCGCCCGGGUUGAACCGCGGGGUAUGAGCCGCUCGGGCCGCCGUAGUCAGCUGCCGCGAGCAGGAAGUGUCCGACGGCAGCGGCGGCGGGCGGAGACUGCACGAUGGCCCCGGACCCCUGGUUCUCCACAUACGACUCUACCUGCCAAAUUGCACAAGAGAUUGCCGAGAAAAUCCAACAACAAAAUCAGUAUGAAAGAAAUGGUGAAAAUACAAUCAGGCUUACCGUGACCAUCAGAACUUUGUUGCAGAAUCUGAAGGACAAGAUCUCCCUUUUGAAGGAUCUGCUGCUAAGAGCUGUGUCAACACAUCAGAUAACACAGCUUGAAGGAGACCGAAGACAGAACCUGCUGGAUGAACUUGUAACUCGAGAGAGACUACUUAUGGCAUCCUUUAAGAACGAGGGUGCAGAACCAGAUCUCAUCAGGUCCAGCCUGAUGACUGGAGGGGCUAAGCGAGGAGUCCCCAACCCUUGGCUCUUUGAGGAGCCAGAGGAGACCAGAGGUUUGGGUUUUGAUGAACUCCGGCAACAGCAGCAGAAAAUUAUCCAAGAACAGGAUGCAGGCCUGGAUGCCCUGUCCUCUAUCAUCAGUCGGCAGAAACAGAUGGGGAAGGAAAUUGGGAAUGAACUGGAUGAACAAAACGAAAUAAUUGAUGACCUUGCCAACCUGGUAGAGAACACAGACGGGAAGCUCCGCACUGAGACCAGGCGUGUGACUAUGGUGGACAGAAAAUCAGCAUCUUGCGGAUUACAUGAGGCAGGUGUGAAUGAAUUCCUUAAGAAGUAGACCUGUGAAAUCAACCCUGUAGUGAAAUGUCACGAGCCCUCCUCCCCACCCCCAAAAGGCAGCUUUGCCUGCCACACUGCCAGGGAUGAUCAUGGUGAUUUUGCUGCUACUGGUGGCGAUCGUGGUCGUGGCCGUCUGGCCCACCAACUAGUGGCAGUAAGGGGCGCACCAGCUGUGAUGCCUGCCAGAGCUGCAGAGAAGCCUAGCACCCAGGUGGUACCUGAACCCGCUCUCAAUAAACACCCGCAAAGCUCUCAA